GAACAUCCCGGACCCCACUCUGUUCCUGGGAUUCUCCCUUCCCACCAGAGCACCUCCAGUUAAUAGGUAAACACAGAAUCCUGUGUCCAGAGAGGCUCCCUGGAGAAACUGCUGUGUGGACAGGAAGCCCCAGACCCUGAGAGGAAACCUGCCUGUAACCUCCAUCUUCACCUGCUCCUGGCAACACAAAGCAGAAUUGUGCAUAGUGUGCGCCCCCUGGUGGUUCUGAUCCCCUCCUGCAGGGAGGUUUGUGCCUGGGCUCCCAGCGAGGUCCCCUCACCCUGUCUCUUGCACAGUAAGUAAUAUGUGGCCUUGUCCUCGGCCCGCAGGUUGUUCAUCUGCAGAUACAGCGUGUUCUUGGAGUUGUCUCUGGAGAUGGGGAAUCGGCCCUUCAUGGAGUCUGCGUAGUAUGUGCUACUUCCAUCAUCAUAAACAUAUGCGAGCCACUGCAACCCCUUUCCUGGAGCCUGGUGAACCCACCUCAUUGCAUAUCUACUGGAGGUGAAACCAGAGGCUACACAGACAAUAAGAACAUGGCCUCUGCCACAGACUAGCCUUGCCACCCUUUCUACAGAAUAUGGGACACUCAUCAGGUCUUCAGAGAGCACCCAGAGCCACCUCACUGAGAAGGACCUUAUGACGAACUCCUAACUGACUACACUGCCAUCAGGAUUAGGGAUAGAUUCUUCUGGAUUCACUCAAGUUGCACAAAAUAGUUCCAAAUUGCCAUUGUCAAGACUGUGGAUGACCAUCCCCAUGAUGACCAUUGGUAAGGAUUCCCAGAGCCAAUUCCCAGGCUCCGGAAGCACAUGGCAUCACAUAGUAGGUCAUGGAUCAAAAAACUGCAUUUCCACCAGGUUUCAUUUUCCGGCUCUUUCCUGUCAGGAAAAAAAAAAAAAACAAAACACCUUUUUAAAAUGGAGCCUACCCUUUCCCCCACUAUUAAAAGACUGACUAGGGGCGCCUGGGUGGCGCAGUCGGUUAAGCGUCUGACUUCAGCCAGGUCACGAUCUCGCGGUCCGUGAGCUCAAGACCCGCAUCAGGUUCUGGGCUGAUGGCUCAGAGCCUGGAGCC